AGUAGAUGGUAGACCUGGGUAAUAUAAUGACAGUAGAGGGUAGGCCAGGGUAAUAUAAUGACAGUAGAUUGUAGACCAGGGUAAUAUAAUGACAGUAGAUGGUAGAGCAGGGUAAUAUAAUGACAGUAGAUGGUAGACCAGGGUAAUAUAAUGACUGUAGAGGGUAAUAUAAUGACAGUAGAUGGUAGACCAGGGUAAUAUAAUGACAGUAGAUGGUAGACCAGGGUAAUAUAAUGACAGUAGAUGGUUGACCAGGGUAAUAUAAUGACAGUAGAUGGUAGACCAGGGUAAUAUAAUGACAUUAGAGGGUAAUAUAAUGACAGUAGAUGGUAGACCAGGGUAAUAUAAUGACAGUAGAGGGUAGGCCAGGGUAAUAUAAUGACAGUAGAUUGUAGACCAGGGUAAUAUAAUGACAGUAGAUGGUAGAGCAGGGUAAUAUAAUGACAGUAGAUGGUAGACCAGGGUAAUAUAAUGACUGUAGAGGGUAAUAUAAUGACAGUAGAUGGUAGACCAGGGUAAUAUAAUGACAGUAGAUGGUAGACCAGGGUAAUAUAAUGACAGUAGAGGGUAAUAUAAUGACAGUAGAUUGUAGACCAGGGUAAUAUAAUGACAGUAGAUGGUAGACCAGGGUAAUAUAAUGACAGUAGAUGGUAGACCAGUGUAAUAGAAUGACAGUAGAUGGUAGACCAGGGUAAUAUAAUGACAGUAGAUGGUAGACCAUGGUAAUAUAAUGACAGUAGAGAUACCAGGGUUCUAUAAUGACAGUAUAGGGUAGACCAGGGUAAUAUAAUGACAGAAGAUGUUAGACCAGGGUAAUAUAAUGACAGUAGAUGGUAGACCAGGGUAAUAUAAUGACAGUAGAUGGUAGACCAGG
ensembl:lncRNA